ACGGCUCAGUAACACGUAGUCAACCUGCCCUGGAGUCGAGAAUAAUCUCGGGAAACUGAGGCUAAUGCUCGAUAGAUCAAGAUUCCUGGAAUGGGUUUUGGUCUAAAUGGUGCAGCAGCAUCUUGCUGUGUUCGCUCCAGGAUGGGACUGCGGCCGAUCAGGCUGUUGGUGGGGUAAAGGCCCACCAAACCAGUAACCGGUACGGGCUUUGAGAGAAGGAGCCCGGAGAUGGACACUGAGACAAGGGUCCAGGUCCUACGGGGCGCAGCAGGCGCGAAACCUUCGCAAUGCGCGCAAGCGCGACGAGGUUAUUCUGAGUGAUUUCCGCUGAGGAAAUCUUUUCCUAGAUCUAAAAAGUCUGGGGAAUAAGGGGAGGGCAAGUCUGGUGUCAGCCGCCGCGGUAAUACCAGCUCCUCGAGUGGUCAGGGCGUUUAUUGGGCCUAAAGCAUCCGUAGCCUGCUCAGUAGGUCUCCUGUUAAAUCCAACGACUCAAUCGUUGGUCUGCAGGAGAUACCGCUGGGCUAGGAGGCGGGAGAGGCGGACGGUACUCCGAGGGUAGGGGUAAAAUCCUUUGAUCCCCGGAAGACCACCAGUGGCGAAGGCGGUCCGCCAGAACGCGCUCGACGGUGAGGGAUGAAAGCUGGGGGAGCGAACCGGAUUAGAUACCCGGGUAGUCCCAGCUGUAAACGAUGCAAGCUAGGUGACACGACGCCUUCGGGGCAUCGUGGUGCCGCAGGGAAGCCGUUAAGCUUGCCGCCUGGGGAGUACGGACGCAAGUCUGAAACUUAAAGGAAUUGGCGGGGGAG
rnacentral:rRNA from 1 species